UACGAUCUAUCAUCUAUUGGAGUGAAGUUUGGAUUCGAAGACAUACGAUCUAUCUUCUAGAUUGUGUUUUAUUUUCCUGUCUCUUGUUACGAGGAGCAUCAAAACUGCGUUCUAGUUGGUCAAAUUCCAACAAAUAUUCCUCACGUUCUAGAAUAAUCGUCAAAUAUGCCCUUUUAGUUUUGGCAUCAUCGGGUGUUGUAAUGGGCCCAUACAGGUUGACUGCUAGACAAACACAAGUCUUGGUCAGCAUUCAUAGGCCGUGUGAACUGCAGCAUGGGUUGACCCCAGAGAUUUAUAUUCGACCCGAAACCCAGAGACUUCAAAGGACAAUAUUUUGAGUCAUUACCGUUCGGGUCGGGUUGGCGUGUCCAGCUUUUCCUAUGAUGUUUCAGGUACAGUUCGAUCAUCAAACCAAUCCAAUAUAUACUUCAAAAUCGACCUAAAAUAUUCAUAUUGUAUCGUUACUUCCCGAAUUUGAUUGACGGUGUCGGUUCAGUGAUAUAGCUGAUAUGACAUGGCGUAGUGGUGAAGUCGACCACAUCUGGCGUUAUUUUGUCUUUUUUUCUGGAAAUAAAAACUAUAUAGCAUAAAGCUAUUGGUGCAUCUACGCAUACGUAGCAAACAAUGACUCUACGUAUGUACGCAAACGUGGCUUACAAUUAGCGACCAACCCAACGUCCUUUCCAAAAGUCAGGACUCUUGGGUCUCUCCAGUCUCCACAAACCACCAAAUUAUGAAAGCAGUUGGAAUACACAAACAAUUUAAAUGGUUAUAUAUAUAUAUACAUAAAAUCAAGUUAAACUGUUUAUGUCAGAGAUUUUACAAGUUUUGGUAAUAUUUAUGAUCAAAUCCUCUUGUGCCAAGACUAAGAACCGAUAAUGUAAAAAAAAAAAAAAAAAAAACCGAUAAUGUAACUGCAUGUAGCUUCUGUAAGUACAAAUAAUCACUAAAUAAUUAUUAUCAUUUACUUUAUAUUGUAAAAAGUAAAAUAUCAUAUAAAUUUUAUGUUUUCUUUUUAAUAAAAAAUUAGUAUUUUAUAAAAUAUAGAAAUUAAUAACAUAAGCUGGAUAAGAUUAAAAUGCAUAUUAGAUUUGAAAUAAACACUCAAAACAUAAAAUAAAUAUAUUCUUUUCUUAUGUGCUUUUCAUAAUUAAUAGUUCAGAAUUUUUAAUAUAAUAUUUUAUACAAUAAGUACAUAAAAGUAUAAUAUUUUUAAAUGGAAAAAUAUAAAUGUAAAUAAAAUUUAUAAACAUAAAAUUAGAAAAAUUUAACAAACAUAAUAUCUAAAUGUGAUAAAAUAAUUAUUUAUCAAUUAUAAAUAUUAAAAAUAUAAAAAUUAUUAAAACUGAAAACAUCAAAUAAUAUAUAAUAUUACUUUUGGUGUAAUAUUUGAUGUUAUGGUUGGAGAUGAUAAAAAAUAUGAUACUAAAACACCAAAUUUAAUGUAAUUUUAGCACUACAUUCUGUGUCAUGGUUAGAGAUGCCCUUAUAUUUAAUUUCUGAAACCUAUCUUCGAAAUUGUAAUUUACCAUGAUUUAUGAGAUAAAAAUGUCAAUUUCUCUUGUAACUUCAACAAAUAAGCGAUUAGGUUGGUACUUAUCGAUCAAAUAAAUGGUCAAACACACAAAAAAAGCCAGCAUAAAGUACAUAUAACUCGAAACAAACAUACAGGAAUAAAACGCUUCCGACUGUUCAUAAAUGAUUAAGACGUGUUAUUCCAUUACAAAACCGAUGAUACAUAGAAUCUGAAAAUUCGCAAAUAUUACAAAAACACAAAAGAAAAGAAAGGAAAGUCGUAUGUUUUUAAUAGAUAAAAAAAAUUGAUGGAAUUUUUUUUUUGAUGAAAGUAAUAGAGAAAUUUUAAUCUCUCAAAAUCUUACUAAAUCUAAUAUAUUCUUUUUUUGUUAGAUACUCUUAAGACUAAUAGUUAAAAUCAAAAAUACCCCACUUAAUCCAACUAAUCACAUGAUUUCUCUCUUAUUUUCCUUUCAACUUCUACGCUUCUUUAUUCUCUUUCCCGACCACCUUUGAAUUGAAUCAAGACAAUAUUCGAAAUUGAAAAUGAGUUAGUUAGGUAUGAUAAAAUUAAAUGGAAAGAUACUGAAGAUUGUGUUUGUUUAAAAAUAAAAUAUGUAUAUUUAUUUAUUAAAAAAUAUUAAACAAACUAUUUUAUAUUAAAACAGUUUAGAAAAUUAUUACAUGAGAUUCCCUUAUAAACCGGAUAUGCUAAUUGGGUGGGUUAUUUAAAUUUUCGUUUGUUUAAAUUUGUAAUUUUGGUUUUAUAAUUAUCAAUAAAUUAAAUUACGACUUUAUAUUUGUGAUCAUUUUUAUCCAUAUCUAAAUUAGCAUAUCCAUAUUUUUAAUAAAAUCCAAAAUAUUAUUAUUUUAUAGUUGUAAUUUGUUUAGUUGUAAAUUUGGACUGCUUUAGAUGAUCGAUGAUGUGAUAUCAUAUAGAGACCCAUAACUAUAAUCUUUUUUUUUCUUUCUAUAACUAAUAAUAUAACUAUUCUCACAUGUGUAUAUCAUUAGAAUGAAGGUUUUGGAUAGACAUAAGAACAUAAGGCUCUAAGAUUUUUUAACGCAAAUUAAUUAUGCUAUUACAAAUUAUGGAAACAUUAUAAAAAGAUUUCACACCUGACAAUUGUACAUGUCUUAUGCUUGAUUGUAUUACUUGAACCGUUUUAUGAGAUCCACAUCUUAUAAGAUCUAAUUUUGACGGUACUCCUUGCAUCAUAUUAUCAUAUUGAAUAUCUCAUGAAAGCAUUUUGUCCUUUGAUCUGCAUAAUUCAAAUUCUUUAGGACUUGAAAUCCAAAUCUCCUAAUAUAGAAACUUUAAUAAACUAUUAGUCAAAAUAACUAUGAAUGCUUCUACCAAUCUCAAUUCUGCACUACCAAGGCAAGAAGUUUUAAAACAAGGUAGCUUCUUUUGUGACAAAUGAGUUAUAAAUUUCAAGAGACCCGCAUAGGCAUGAGGCCCCAAAUUUCUUUCUUGAUUUCUUUCUUGCCUAGCUUUGAUGGAGUUGCGGGUUUCUUUGUCAAUGAAACGGGAGAUGGUAUUGGCUGGAGCCUGGAGUGAAAUACUGUUGUGAAGGACGUUGUUGCACUGCUUCCAUAUAUGUACACACAUAUAUAAGAAAUAAACUCAAAGGAAUCCAACAAAAUAUAUACAUAUCGAUCUAAAUACGAAUUACAUCCAACAUAUACUCUAUAACACAUUCUACUAAAAAUGUAUUCUGAUUUGCUAGCAGUAUCUCAGUAGACCUCUACAAUCAUCUGCAAAAAGGCUUUUCAGUAGUGUUUUAAUUCGGAACAAAAUUUCUUUGUUGAUAUGAUGAAAGCAUGCUUGUGUUCUCUUUGUUGUUUUUUUCUUUUGUUCAAACCACACUUUCAUUAAAACUUAACACAGUUUAACUCCACCAAUGGAGGAUACAUCAAAGCUACUAAGAGCCACACAAACUGAAACAUUGAUUAAACAGAUGACAAACUGACAAUACACCUCAUUACAAAAGACCAUAAAAAAUCGAACUACGAUCUCAUAACCUUCUUGAAUAAAAGCAUACCGUGUAACUUGAGAAGUUACAAACACUGCAACAUAUGCAGAGGAGAGCAUCA